rnacentral:tRNA from 1 species
GCGUUCAUAGCUCAGUUGGUUAGAGCACCCCUUGACAUGGUGGGGGUCGUUGGUUCGAGUCCAAUUGAACGCACCA